GAGCUAUGAGGAUAAAAUCUCUAUCGUUAUGAAUCCUGACGACGUUAUACGCUAUUCUGAGCUACAA